rnacentral:rRNA from 1 species
UACGGAGGGGGCUAGCGUUGUUCGGAAUUACUGGGCGUAAAGCGUACGUAGGCGGCUUUUUAAGUCAGAGGUGAAAGCCCGGGGCUCAACUCCGGAAUUGCCUUUGAAACUGGGAGCUUGAACAUGGGAGAGGUAAGUGGAAUUCCGAGUGUAGAGGUGAAAUUCGUAGAUAUUCGGAGGAACACCAGUGGCGAAGGCGGCUUACUGGACCUUGUUGACGCUGAGGUACGGAAAGCGUGGGGAGCAAACAGGG